rnacentral:tRNA from 1 species
GGUCCAAUGGUCUAGUUGGUUAGGACGUCGGAUUCUGAUGCAAUGCAGAGAAUUCCGUAAGCCCAGGUUCGAAUCCUGGUUGGACCU